rnacentral:lncRNA from 1 species
UUAACGUAUAAUUAUUUCAGCUUGAAAAAUGUUAAACUACCGCAUCAGUAUUUUUGGUAGAAGUGCCAAUAAAUUUGUUUUACGUUUAUAUAAAAAGUAAUAUUUUUAUGUAGGAGAUGGCGAUGGAGGUAGAAGAUGCGAACGAGGUCAAGGUAGAGGUUACGAACCUUAGUAUGACAUCCCACUUAGAGGCAGAAGAGUCACGUCCCCCAGCAUCAAGACACUAUGAAAGAUCCAACUAGUACAGCAGCAAAUAGAACUGCUCUUGGUGGAGCUCAGUUUCAUGAUUUUCAACAUGGUGGAGAAUUUUGACGUAGACAACAAUUACAUUCUUGAUACCAGCAGAAGAUUAAAGAGCAACGACCAGUAGAGCAGCUGCAAGAAUUACACCUGUUGAGGUAUCGCUCUGAUCGAACAUAGGUGGGCAGUCGUGUUCAGCCAUGCCUCUUGCUUCUGUAUCUCAGUCAAAAAGUGCAGUACUGUAGAUAUUAUUUCGACUGCAAUGAAGAGACUGGGUUUUGAGAACCUAUACUGGAUCUACAAAGCAUAACUUUGCUAAAAGACCGGACAUUGGCAUUAAGGGUAAAAAGAUGAAUUUACUAGCGAAUUAUUUUCCAAUCGAUAUUACUACACGGAGAAUUGUAUCAUUAUGAUGUGGAAAUUCAAAAUUUUCUGCUCAGUAGAAGAGUGGUAUUGAAAGUAAAACUACACAUAAAAGGAUAAUGUCAAAACACUAAAUUGAAGAGAAGAGUUAUUGAAAAAAUUAUUAUUCGUGAAAUUGCUGUAUUUCGAAAUAUUAGACCAGUAUUUGAUGGCACGAAAAACUUGUACACCUGAAAACCGUUACCGAUAAGACACAAAAAUAUUUUCUGUAAGGGCUAAGAUUGAUUGAUUUUUAAUCCCGAAAAAAAGGAUGACAGGUUUAAUUAUUUUAUAUAUUAACAGGAUAGACAGCUCUUGUCUUGUUGCUGGGGGACGUGACUCUUUUCUGCCUCUAAAUGGGAUGUAAUACUGAGGUUCAUGACCUCGACCUCGUUCGCGUCCUCUACCUCCAUCGUCAUCCCUUACAUAAAAAUAAAAGGUUAGAUGACAAUUCAAUUAGUUUAGAACCAUUACAUGAGUUGUUAAUAGAUAGAUGCAGUGAAAGUAUUAUUAUGGGAAUGAUUGUCAGAGACCAUACUAAGACACGGUUCUGCUCUACAUUUGAUUCCAGUUAGAACUUUUUUCAUAAAGCCUCACGUGGAUGAAGUUCCUCUAUUAGGUGGAGGGAAACUUGGUUUGGUCAUCAUCAAAGCAUGCAGCUGUGUCAAUGGACGCCCAUGUUAAACAUUGAUAAAUCGGCAACGGCAUUUUUAUAGAAGCUGCUCCGUUGAGUUUAUGUUUACGAAAACUUAACGAAAACGUUAAGUUGGCUGCAGGACAGAUGAGAUGUCUCAGAUACUGAAAGAAAAACUCUAAGAAAAAGAAUAAAUUUAAAAGUUGGAGUAACCGCUUUCCCUUGUAAACGAAAAUACAGUACAAAGUUAGACACAUAACAAGAGAUAAUGCUAACAUUUUUAUGAGAAGAAUUAAUAAGGAAGCUCUUUAUUUGGUAUCAGAAUAUUUUCGGUCUCCAAUAUAAACCAUUAAUAUAUCCUAAUUUUCCUUGUUUAAAUGUGGGAAAUAAUAACAAAGAUGUCUAUUUACCAUUGGAAGUGUGCAAUAUUUUAGGUCAGCACUAAUAAAUUGACAAACUUCAGAAAUGAUUAGCUACAAGGCUCGACCUCCUGCAGAAAGAUUCAAUGACAUCAAACACUCUGGUUGAAAGUCUUGCAUCAUAGCAUUAAAAUUCUCUAGGAAGUUUGUACUUACAAUUUCUUUUCAAGUGUACAGGCAGAUUGGACCCUCCAAUAGUUACGUACGAUGGAAGACAUCAGACCUUGUAACGGAAGCUGGAAUAUGGUAAAUAAGUUUCACACUUGGAGUGCCAAUUGACAAUUGGGAAACAUUAUAUGAUAAGGGGAUGGAAAAACUCGUCCACAGAUAUGACAAAUGCCCCAAUCUUCACGGUGAUUAUGCCGAAAAAUAACAAUGUUUGUACCUAACUUUUGGUAAUAAAUUCAUCUUGUUAUUUACACUUGUCUGUUUUAUGGAUCAUCGGAGCUUUAAAAAAACCGCUUUCAUAGUUAGUAUUUUUAAUAUUUAUUUGUAUAAAAAAUUAAUUUUUAAAUAUUUAAUAAGAGGAGAAAUCGGGCGAUAAAAUUCUACAUCUACAUAUAUUCGACAGCAUUUGCACUUCAAUUUUACCCUUCCAGAAUAGUUAAUUCAAUUAAAAAGUGUGCGAUCUAGCGCUACUUCAGCCCCUUGUUCAGAAAGAAAAAUAUGAACUUUGAUGAAUUAGUCUGGUUCAUUCAGAAAAAUCAAGUACUUAUUUAGAGCAGGGAUGAUAAAGGAAUGAUCCAAAAUAUUUAAAUUCAAUUGGGUCAAAAUAA